rnacentral:rRNA from 1 species
GAUGAACGCUAGCGGCAGGCUUAAUACAUGCAAGUCGAGGGGUAACAUGGGGUAGCAAUACUCUGAUGACGACCGGCAAACGGGUGCGGAACACGUACGCAACUUUCCCAAACUGGUGAAUAGCCCUCCGAAAGGAGGAUUAAUACACCGUAACAUAUAGAGGUGGCAUCGCCUUUAUAUUAUAGCUCCGGCGGUUUUGGAUGGGCGUGCGCCUGAUUAGGUAGUUGGUGUGGUAACGGCUCACCAAGCCUACGAUCAGUAACUGGUGUGAGAGCACGACCAGUCACACGGGCACUGAGACACGGGCCCGACUCCUACGGGAGGCAGCAGUGGGGAAUUUUGCGCAAUGGGCGAAAGCCUGACGCAGCAACGCCGCGUGGGUGAUGAAGGUCUUCGGAUUGUAAAACCCUGUCGCCAGGGACGAAGGCGCUUCGGUUAAUAACCGGGGUGCUUGACGGUACCUGGAAAGGAAGCCCCGGCUAACUCUGUGCCAGCAGCCGCGGUAAA